UACGGAGGAUGCGAGCGUUAUCCGGAUUUAUUGGGUCUAAAGGGUGCGUAGGCGGGAUGCCAAGUCAGCGGUAAAAAUGCGGUGCUCAACGCCGUCGAGCCGUUGAAACUGGCGUUCUUGAGUGGGCGAGAAGUAUGCGGAAUGCGUGGUGUAGCGGUGAAAUGCAUAGAUAUCACGCAGAACUCCGAUUGCGAAGGCAGCAUACCGGCGCCCUACUGACGCUGAGGCACGAAAGCGUGAGUAUCGAACAGG
rnacentral:rRNA from 1 species